GAGCGCCCCGCAAGGGGAGCGGCAGACGGGAGAGUAACACGUGGGAACGUACCCUUCAGUUCGGAACAACCCAGGGAAACUUGGGCUAAUACCGAAUACGUCCGUAAGGAGAAAGAUUUAUCGCUGAAGGAUCGGCCCGCGUCUGAUUAGCUUGUUGGUGGGGUAACGGCCCACCAAGGCUACGAUCAGUAGCUGGUCUGAGAGGAUGAUCAGCCUCACUGGGACUGAGACACGGCCCAGACUCCUACGGGAGGCAGCAGUGGGGAAUAUUGGACAAUGGGCGCAAGCCUGAUCCAGCCAUGCCGCGUGGGUGAUGAAGGCCCUAGGGUUGUAAAGCCCUUUCGGCGGGGAAGAUAAUGACGGUACCCGCAGAAGAAGCCCCGGCUAACUUCGUG
rnacentral:rRNA from 1 species